UACUCAUAACUCUUUUUCCCCCUUGUUUCCAAAGUACUUAUUUUUCUUUUGUAUUUUCGUUUAUGUAAAACUUAUAAGUCUGCAGUGUUCAUUUUCUCAAGAAAGUGAUUUAAAUAUUUUGGUUGCAAAGAAUAAUACUGCAAUUCUGUUUCCCCGAACAAGAAGAUAGACUAAUCUUUUCCACAAGAAAAGACAUGGUACUGUUGUCAUCCUCUGUUACUUAGCCAAAUAUGUACACACAAGCACUGACAUCAUAUAUUAUAUUCAGAGUGCCAGGAGCUCAAAAUGGCCAUUUGGUAUAUUAGGGAUGAUUUGGAUUGAAAGAAAGAGCGUGGAUGUAUUUGUUAUGAGCUUUGCAAUGUCCUCCAAAUAAUCCUUCUAAAACAAGCAAAAUGUUUUUUUUU